CGUGAAAAUGUAUGGUAGCAAACGGAGCUUCCCUCGAAGUUUUCCCCCUGGACCCAGCCUUAGGUCUCGGGCAGCCCUGGUUGUCGGAUCAGCAAUGACCGGCCUCUGGGAGCCUGCUCGGUCCGCGGGUGCAUCUUCAGGGGGUUUAACGACGGGAACUGUUGGACUUGGACCGAAGGCCUGGGAUGAAGUUUUCGCUCCGGCGUCAGCUCCCGGUGUCCUGGCUCUGAGGCCCGACAGGCGUGUGGCCGACUUGUACAGCAAGCAACCCUUACUGUUGCGGUCGGCCUUUCCCCGUCGAGUAGGUCGGUGGAAGCUCUGACCCGUCUUGAAACACGGA
rnacentral:rRNA from 1 species